CCGCGGUAAUACGGAGGGUGCAAGCGUUGUCCGGAUUUAUUGGGCGUAAAGGGUGCGUAGGUGGCGGGGCAAGUCUGGUGUGAAAUCCCGGGGCUCAACCCCGGAACUGCACUGGAUACUGCUUUGCUAGAGUACUGGAGAGGGAACUGGAAUUUACGGUGUAGCAGUGAAAUGCGUAGAUAUCGUAAGGAAGACCAGUGGCGAAGGCGAGUUCCUGGACAGUUACUGACACUGAGGCACGAAGGCCAGGGGAGCAAACGGG
rnacentral:rRNA from 1 species